GACGAACGCUGGCGGCGUGCCUAAUACAUGCAAGUAGAACGCAGUUGCGAACGGGUGAGUAACGCGUAGGUAACUGCCUCAUAGCGGGGGAUAACCAUUGGAAACGAUAGCUAAUACCGCAUACUGUGAGAUGGACCUGCGUUGUAUUAGUUAGUUGGUGGGGUAAAGGCUCACCAAGGCGCCGGUACAUAGCCGGCCUGGGAGGGAGGUCGGCCACACUGGGACUGGGGCACGGCCCAGACUCCUUCGGGGGGCAACAGUAGGGGAACUUCGGAAAUGGACGGAAGUCUGGCCGAGCAACGCCGCGGGAGUGAAGAAGGUUUUCGGGUCGUAAAGCUCUGUUGUUAGAGGAGCGGUAACUGACCAAGAAGGAACGGCUAACUACGUGCCAGCAGCCGCGGUAAUAC
rnacentral:rRNA from 1 species